CCAAUCCUACUUUAAUCUUUGCUCUCCUUCCCCAGCCAAUCGCGGGACAAGGAGGAGGUGGAUGUGUUGGGGGAGGCAUGGAUGUCCAUCGAGUGAAGAGGUCUGAGCCCCCCGUGGCUGACCAGGUGGAGCUGCUGCGCCAGUGACGCUCGACUGCCUCUCUGCAUGUCCAGGUG